rnacentral:rRNA from 1 species
CAAGUCGAACGCGUUGGCCCAACUGAUUGACGGUGCUUGCACCUGAUUGACGUUGGAUUACCAACGAGUGGCGGACGGGUGAGUAACACGUAGGCAACCUGCCCAGAAGCGGGGGACAACAUUUGGAAACAAGUGCUAAUACCGCAUAAAUCCUCAAACCGCAUGGUUUGAGGCUGAAAGAUGGUUUCGGCUAUCACUUCUGGAUGGGCCUGCGGCGCAUUAGCUUGUUGGUGGGGUAACGGCCUACCAAGGCUAUGAUGCGUAGCCGAGUUGAGAGACUGAUCGGCCACAAUGGAACUGAGACACGGUCCAUACUCCUACGGGAGGCAGCAGUAGGGAAUCUUCCACAAUGGGCGCAAGCCUGAUGGAGCAACACCGCGUGAGUGAAGAAGGGCUUCGGCUCGUAAAGCUCUGUUGUUGAAGAAGAACGUGCGUGAGAGUAACUGUUCACGCAGUGACGGUAUUCAACCAGAAAGUCACGGCUAACUACGUG